UACGGAGGGUGCGAGCGUUGUCCGGAAUCAUUGGGCGUAAAGGGCGCGUAGGUGGCCCGGUCAGUUCGUGGUGAAAGCGCGGGGCUCAACCCCGCGUCGGCCAUGGAUACUGCUGGGCUUGAGCACUGUAGAGGCAGGCGGAAUUCCGGGUGUAGCGGUGGAAUGCGUAGAGAUCCGGAAGAACACCGGUGGCGAAGGCGGCCCGCUGGGCAGUAGCUGACACUGAGGCGCGACAGCGUGGGGAGCAAACAGG
rnacentral:rRNA from 1 species